UGAUGAAGCAAACUACAGCCAGAGCGGCAAGAACCACAAGAGCCCAGACCUGAAAUCCACCCUGAACCGCCACGACACAGAACACACACACCAGGACACCUGCAGCAAAAGGAAGGGUAUCAGUAACGCAAGCCUACUGAAGUAAAUAUGUCAGGUAUGCAUCUAAGUCUGUCUGACCUAAUACACUCGUGCAGAUGUUGACAGUGAAGCCCGAGAGACGAGAGGGCUCCUCGUUUUUGGGGAACAGAAGGUUUCUGAGGGUGCAGAGAUCUUGAGAUCCAGGUAUGAAACCAGCACUGCUCUCGUUGAUGGAAUCAGCCUCUGUUUCCUCCUGACAACUGGCUCUCUGAUAAUGGACAUUCACACUGGGCUGCUCUGGUUGGUACCU